rnacentral:lncRNA from 1 species
AAUUUGAUGUGCAGGUGAGCUUUUCCCAGUUUAUCAGAUGUAUCAUUGAGUCAUUUUUUUAACCAAAUUAAUGCAGCACGCGUUAAUUUUACUCUUUUGCAGAGCUUCUGGAUGUUUUGUCUUUAUGGAAGUUUAAGCAAAUAUGAGCUUGACGAGUUCCAUAUAUUUUAUCCCAGAAUUAUCAAUUGUGUGAAAUCUCUCUUCUUUUCCAUAAAUUCAUUAUGUGUAUAGCUUCAAACACGCUAUAUCACAUUGAAGUACCUUUCUAUUGUUUCAAAAUGGUAUUCCGUGGUGCAUCCAAAUCACUGCCCUUCUAUUUGCCAUUCUCGUCUUGUUUCUGUUUUCGAGACAAGAGUAUGGGAUUACUUGUGUAAGAGGAUAUUCUAUGAAG